rnacentral:rRNA from 1 species
GAUGAACGCUGGCGGCGUGCCUAAUACAUGCAAGUCGAGCGAAUGGAUUAAGAGCUUGCUCUUAUGAAGUUAGCGGCGGACGGGUGAGUAACACGUGGGUAACCUGCCCAUAAGACUGGGAUAACUCCGGGAAACCGGGGCUAAUACCGGAUAACAUUUUGAACCGCAUGGUUCGAAAUUGAAAGGCGGCUUCGGCUGUCACUUAUGGAUGGACCCGCGUCGCAUUAGCUAGUUGGUGAGGUAACGGCUCACCCAGGCAACGAUGCGUAGCCGACAUGAGAGGGGGAUCGGCCACACUGGGACUGAGACACGGCCCAGACUCCUACGGGAGGCAGCAGUAGGGAAUCUUCCGCGAUGGACGAAAGUCUGACGGAGCAACGCCGCGUGAGUGAUGAAGGCUUUCGGGUCGUAAAACUCUGUUGUUAGGGAAGAACAAGUGCUAGUUGAAUAAGCUGGCACCUUGACGGUACCUAACCAGAAAGCCACGGCUAACUACGUGCCAGCCGCCGCAGUAA